rnacentral:rRNA from 1 species
AGAGUUUGAUCCUGGCUCAGAAUGAACGUUGGCGGCGUGGAUUAGGCAUGCAAGUCGAACGAGAACCCCGCAAGGGGGAAUAGUGGCAAACGGGGUAGGAAUGAGUAGGUGACGUACCCUCUGGACGGGGAUAGCCACGGGAAACUGUGAGUAAUACCCGAUGAUCCCAUUCGAUAUGGUAUUGAAUGGGCAAAGGUGAGAUUCCACCGGAGGAGCGGCUUACUUAGUAUUAGCUAGUUGGUGAGGUAAUGGCUCACCAAGGCUGCGAUGCUUAGGGGAUGUGAGAGCAUGAUCCCCACCACUGGGACUGAGAUACUGCCCAGACACCUACGGGUGGCUGCAGUCGAGAAUCUUCGGCAAUGGGCGCAAGCCUGACCGAGCGACGCCGCGUGUGGGAUGAAGGCCCUUGGGUUGUAAACCACUGUCAGAGGGGAUGAAGUGCAGUAGAGCUAUCUCUACUGUUUGACAUAGCCUCAGAGGAAGCACGGGCUAAGUUCGUGCCAGCAGCCGCGGUAAUAC